GGGGUUGUAGCUCACUGGUAGAGCAUGCGCCUUGCAUGUGUGAGGCAUGGGGUUCGAUCCUCAGCACCA
rfam:Ictidomys tridecemlineatus contig019832, whole genome shotgun sequence.